UGGCAAUCUGGAAUUGCAGACUGCACUCUCAGUGCGCAAGUAUUUGAUCCAACUAACUGGUCGGAUAAUCAGUCACAAUCAAGAAUAUUUUCAGCCAGGGCGAUGGGAAAAAGUAUUGCAACUAUUUAUAAAACAUAAUUUAUUACAUGGACACUGGGAAAGUGGCAUUGCAGCAAUUUGGAACUGCACAACGACAAUAUUGUCGUGAUGCGCAAUUAAUUUGUUUAUAACUAUUUCAAAAUAAUCUAAUUCCCAGCCCCCGAGAAAUUCGAGAAAUUGGCGUAAUUUGCCAAUCAACAUUGAAAUAGAAGAGCCACCAGCAACGAGAACGACACCAGCAACGCACCCAACGCAAUAAAGCACAAAAGGCAUGCCAGCAAACUACGCACUACGAUCUUUUUCCCAGAUCCCCAUUAAUAUACAUAUGUGUAUAUGUUUACACCCUGGAAAAAGCCAGCACCCAUACCACCCAAAAAAUGGCCAAAAUAUCCGAGGAGGAGGAGGAGGAGGAGGGAGGACUAUGGGAGUACACAAAUUUUUGCAAGGAAACGCUUUGGCAUAACUUUGACGGGCUUAUAAAUGUCCAACGAUUUAUUUGCGGCUGUUUUGGCGCGAAGCAAAAAGUUCAGGUAUAACCAUUUGGUUUCAGACUAUAUAGGAGUUUGGUUAACUCCCCACUGGCCCCCUCUACCCAUACCACCAUUUUGGCCAUCAACUUGAACGGAUAUAUAGCUUUUAACCGGAAAAAAAUACAAAAAAAAAAGAAACAUAAACGUUGGUAACAAAGUGUUUCAAAUUUGUUUACUACAAAAAGUGGAUUGCUUUUUGGCCCGGCUCAGCUCAGGUAUGUGGCCAGGUAAUUGGGCGUGGCCCGCCCCAAACCUCUUACCAAAAAAAUACCAAAAAAAAAAAGAAAGAAAGGAGAGAAAGGAGGAUGGUCCAUUGAUAGCUUUUGUGGCUUUUCAACUUUGCCAUCAAAUGGAGUGCGAACAGGAGCGUUGUUGACUCUUUGGCUUUUGCAGUAACUUUAGGUAGACAAUUGCCAUGAACUUUGGCCCUUUUUUGUAUUUUGAACAAAAAAGUCUAUAUAUACUGCUCUAAGAAACUACUAUUUCAGACUGCUUACCAAAUGGGAAUUUAGGGGAAAAUAAAAUCAAAUUGCUUCCUAAAAUACAAGGCACAG